AUACUGCUGAGGAGUCCCACAAUAGGACGAAACGGCCGUCAAGUGU
rnacentral:hammerhead_ribozyme from 1 species